UUUCCGUAGGUGAACCUGCGGAAGGAUCAUUAUUGUAUAACCGAGGUGCGAGGGCUGUCGCUGACCCGAAAGGACGUGCACGCCCGAGUGCCCUCACACAGCCACCUCACCCCUAUGUGCACCACCGCGUGGGUCCCCCUUUGGCUUGUUCGGAGGGGGGCUUACGUUUUCACACAAACUUUGUAUGCAGUGUAGAAUGUAUUUUUUGUUUUUGCGAUCACGCAAUCAAUACAACUUUCAACAACGGAUCUCUUGGCUCUC
rnacentral:misc_RNA from 1 species